AUGCUCUCUUCAGGAGCACAUAUAUUAAAAUUGGAAUGAUACAAAGAAGAUUAGCAUGGCCCCAGCGCAAGGAUGAGACGCAAUGAUGUUCAAUGAAUUCAAUGAAA